rnacentral:miRNA from 1 species
UACUAUAUUGCUGCAAAAGUAAUUGUGAUUUUUGCCAUUACUUUUACUAGCAUUUUGCCAUUACUUUUAAUGGCAAAAAUCACAAUUACUUUUGCACCAACCUAAUAC